CCCGGGGAAACUCGGAUUAAUACCGCAUACGCCCUUUUGGGGAAAGACGGCCUCUGAUGCAAGCUGUCGCCGAAGGAUGAGCCCGCGUCAGAUUAGCUAGUUGGUGGGGUAAAGGCCUACCAAGGCUGCGAUCUGUAGCUGGUCUGAGAGGAUGAUCAGCCACAUCGGGACUGAGACACGGCCCGAACUCCUACGGGAGGCAGCAGUGGGGAAUCUUGGACAAUGGGCGCAAGCCUGAUCCAGCCAUGCCGCGUGUGUGAAGAAGGCCUUCGGGUUGUAAAGCACUUUCAGCGAGGAGGAAAAGGCAGGUGUUAAUACCACUCUGUUUUGACGGUACUCGCAGAAGAAGCACCGGCUAAUUUCGUGCCAGCAGCCGCGGUAAUACGAAAGGUGCAAGCGUUAAUCGGAAUUACUGGGCGUAAAGGGCGCGUAGGCGGCGUGUUCAGUCGGCUGUGGAAGCCCCGGGCUCAACCCGGGAAUUGCAUCCGAUACUGGCAUGCUAGAGUGCAGUAGAGGGAGGUAGAAUUCCAGGUGUAGCGGUGAAAUGCGUAGAGAUCUGGAGGAAUACCAGUGGCGAAGGCGGCCUCCUGGACUGACACUGACGCUGAGGCGCGAAAGCGUGGGUAGCAAACAGGAUUAGAUACCCUGGUAGUCCACGC
rnacentral:rRNA from 1 species